ACGGGAGGCAGCAGUGGGGGAUAUUGCACAAUGGGGGAAACCCUGAUGCAGCGACGCCGCGUGAGUGAUGAAGUAUUUCGGUAUGUAAGGCUCUAUCAGCAGGGAAGAAAAUGACGGUACCUGACUAAGAAGCUCCGGCUAAAUACGUGCCAGCAGCCGCGGUAAUACGUAUGGAGCAAGCGUUAUCCGGAUUUACUGGGUGUAAAGGGAGCGUAGACGGCGUGGCAAGUCUGAUGUGAAAGCUAUGGGCUCAACCCAUAAACUGCAUUGGAAACUGUCAUGCUAGAGUGUCGGAGAGGUAAGCGGAAUUCCUAGUGUAGCGGUGAAAUGCGUAGAUAUUAGGAGGAACACCAGUGGCGAAGGCGGCUUACUGGACGAUAACUGACGUUGAGGCUCGAAAGCGUGGGGAGCAAACAGGAUUAGAUACCCUGGUA
rnacentral:rRNA from 1 species